rnacentral:rRNA from 1 species
UGGCGAGUGGCGCACGGUGAGUAAUGCAUCGGAACGUACCUGUAGUGGGGGAUAACCCAGCGAAAGUUGGGCUAAUACCGCAUACGCUCUAACGAGGAAAGUGGGGGACCGCAAGGCCUCACGCUAUUGGAGCGGCCGAUGCCCGAUUAGCUAGUUGGUGAGGUAAUGGCUCACCAAGGCUACGAUCGGUAGCUGGUCUGAGAGGAUGAUCAGCCACACUGGGACCGAGACACGGCCCAGACUCCUACGGGAGGCAGCAGUGGGGAAUUUUGGACAAUGGGGGAAACCCUGAUCCAGCCAUGCCGCGUGAGGGAAGAAGGCCUUCGGGUUGUAAACCUCUUUCGGACGGAACGAAACGGUUCAGGUUAAUAGCCUGAAUUAAUGACGGUACCGUAAGAAGAAGCACCGGCUAACUACGUGCCAGCAGCCGCGGUAAUACGUAGGGUGCGAGCGUUAAUCGGAAUUACUGGGCGUAAAGCGUGCGUAGGCGGCUUCGCAAGUCAGGUGUGAAAGCCCUGGGCUCAACCUAGGAAUUGCGCUUGAAACUACGGAGCUAGAGUUUGGCAGAGGGGGGUGGAAUUCCACGUGUAGCAGUGAAAUGCGUAGAUAUGUGGAGGAACACCGAUGGCGAAGGCAGCCCCCUGGGCCAAAACUGACGCUCAGGCACGAAAGCGUGGGGAGCAAACAGGAUUAGAUACCCUGGUAGUC